rnacentral:rRNA from 1 species
GAUGAACGCUAGCGGCAGGCUUAAUACAUGCAAGUUGAGGGGCAGCAUGAUAUACGCGAGUAUAUUGAUGGCGACCGGCGGACGGGUGAGUAAUAGGUAGGAGACCUACCUCAUACAGGGGGAUAGCAUAGAGAAAUCUGUGGUAAUACCCCAUGAGGUUAUAUGAAUAGAGGCAUAUAAUCAAAGCAUAAGCGAUUAUGCGGUAUGAGAGGGGCCUACUGACCAUUAGCUAGUUGGUGAGGUAAGGGCUCACCAAGGCGAAGAUGGUUAGGGGUUUUGAGAGAGAGACCCCCCCACAUUGGAACUGAGAGACGGUCCAGACUCCUACGGGAGGCAGCAGUAGGGAAUAUUGGGCAAUGGGCGAAAGCCUGACCCAGCCAUGCCGCGUGAAGGAAGACGGCCUUAGGGUUGUAAACUUCUUUUACACGCGAAUAGAGGUUAGUACGAGAUACUAAUAGGAAGGUAGUGUAGUAAAAAGCACCGGCUAACUCCGUGCC